UACGUAGGUGGCAAGCGUUGUCCGGAUUUACUGGGCGUAAAGAGCGCGCAGGCGGUCGUUCAAGUCGCGUGUGAAAGCCCCCGGCUCAACUGGGGAGGGUCACGCGAUACUGAUCGACUCGAAGGCAGGAGAGGGAAGUGGAAUUCCCGGUGUAGUGGUGAAAUGCGUGGAUAUCGGGAGGAACACCAGUGGCGAAGGCGACUUCCUGGCCUGUUCUUGACGCUGAGGCGCGAAAGCUAGGGGAGCAAACGGG
rnacentral:rRNA from 1 species